rnacentral:lncRNA from 1 species
GGUUAAAUCAUACUAGAGAUCACAUGAAGACAUUCUAAAAUCACACUAUAAAAAUUGCUGAUAUAGGAGGAAAGGCUUACAAGAAUGUCUUUCAAACCCUUUUAUCCAACAAGUUAUUCAUCUUUUACUUUUCUUUCUUCCAACCUUAUCCUCUAUGAUACUAUUUUACUUUCUAAAUGAAUACAGUUUUGCCAUUUCGAUAGGACAAACAAUUUGACCUCUAAAAGAAACUUUGAAAUCCAAAAGUCUAUAAAGAAUUAAGGCCUGAAUUUAAGACUUAAGGCCAAUUCUUUAGACACAAUUCUCUACUUCUAAAAAUGCUAAGGUUGUAAUUUGGAAAAAACAGCAGAAUAAAGACUGCUAUGGGACCUCAAAUUUUAAAAAUUGUUUAACUGUGGUAUUCUAAAUUAUCAUACAAUCAGAUUAAGUUGGUGGAACUAAAACAGGGCGCAUUACCUCAAACAGCCAGCAUUUACAAGAACCAAAUUGAUUUUUUUUUCUUACAAAAGUCAGGCAACUUCCAAAUUAAGUCACUUUUUACCAUAUACCCUGGAGAAUAACAUGGCCCGACACACCACACGUCCCACUUAUCUAGUUCAAGCGAGUAACAUAACGUGAGAAACUGCACUGUGUAAUUCCUUUAUUUUCUGCAUAUUAGUGCUUUACCAACACUACAACCAUAAAGAACACAAUUCCAAGUACUGUACUUUUUAGUUUGGGGAGAUCACAGUCUACAGACUCAUUUAUGGUGGAGCUUUGGAAAUUUUAGAAAGCAACCAGUGUUCUUAGAUGUGUUUAUCAGCCUCAUUUCUAGAGCUCUUUCUACUAAAGUGAAACUGAGAACUUCGUACUUUAGUUGUAUCCUGAAAUCAAAAAAAUCCCUCUGCACCAACAGGAGCCUACAUGAGAAUACCCUUUUGCAUCUGCUUUAAGUAAAAUGUUUGUUAAGAGUUUUACUUUGAAUAGUUCAUUUUUUUAUAGUCUUACACUUCUCAUACAUCUUUGGUAAAAGCUCCAUUAUACAAUAUGGCCAAAGUGUGAAGGACCAAUACUGUCCAACUAUACCAUGAUAUCCCGCUCAAUUUUAGUUUUCAGACACCCUCAUAAACAAAACCCACUCCACCUUUUCCUGUAUACUGCCUUUGCAGUCUACAUUUCUGAAAUUCCCUAUUUAAUUCCUUGAGGAUCACUAAAAUUAAUCCUUAAGGCUAUAUAGGAACCAGAUGCUGCUUUACAAUUCUGCAUCAAGCAUUAACAUUUGGUUCAAAAUAUUAUCAUAGUGGUCGCAAUCCAGUUACUGGUCCUAACCAGCUAACCAAGUAAUCUUGUUAGGAUCUGGAUAUCACCAGCGAGCACACUGCUUACACAUGAAGAAAAAUAAGUUUACAUUCAUUGUCAUCUGUAGGUUCUUUCUCUUCAUCCUACGUCCCCUUUAAUAGUCAUCCCUCAAGUCUACACAUCAUUCAUUCAUCACGCUUCCUUCCUUAAAGGAGACAGUGUACUAUUGAACCAACAGGAUAUCUUUUUUAUUAUUUGCAUGAGUUAAUCCUACAAACAAAAUUAAAUACCUCUUUUAUAAAACAUCUUUUCCAGUGUUCUAAUUGAUGGAGAUGCGGAUCACUCAUCUAUAAAAAAUGACUUACAGCUUCAGCUUAAUCAGUUGCUAUAAUGUGAAAACAGGAAUGUGUAUUUUUUUCAACUAGGUAAAAGGUGCAUAUAAUUUGAAUUGUUAAAUGUUUUAUUAAUGAACAAAGUAAACCUUUUAGUAAUUUUUAAAUUACUGGUCUUAGGUGUUUGAAACAAGGUAAAAGUAUACAUUCCAGUUUUGCCCAAAAGUCACUUAAAAUAUCUACAAAUUAUUUAAUCUGUGUGUGGUAACACCAUUAUUGCUCCAAUUUCUGGAAAGAGUCUAUUUUCAAAGUUUAAAAAAGAGGAAAAACAGCAAAGUGGCUAACUUUGCAGUGGAAAGAAAAAGUGUCCUUCAUGGGUUACACUUUCAUAUUUUUAUGCAGCAUUAAGUUAUCUACGUUAUGGGGAACUUGGGUUUUAUUCCUACUCAUGCAUGAUGUGUUUCAGAACUUACUUGCUGACAUUUCAGAGAACUUCUUACAUUACCUGUUUAACAUACUGAGGUGCAACUGGAACAUAUUACAAUAUUACUCAUUAUUUGCCACUGUGGGCUAAGUUUACUAUACUGGUCUUAGAUAUAAAAGGUCACAUUUGAAAUUACUAAGUUAGAACUCAUAAGGAAGGGGGGGGAAGGCCUUAAAUAUAAAAGACAAACGGCAGUUUGAUUAAGCAAUAAUUUUCAGUUUACUAGAUGAAACAGACUUGCAACAUAGUCUGCAUGAAUGCAAAAUAAG